rnacentral:rRNA from 1 species
UACGGAGGGGGCUAGUGUUAUUCGGAAUGACUGGGCGUAAAGGGCACGUAGGCGGUAAACUAAGUUGAAAGUGAAAUCCCAAAGCUUAACUUUGGAACGGCUUUCAAAACUAGUUCACUCGAGUUCGAUAGGGGAUAGUGGAAUUUCUAAUGUAGAGAUACAAUUCGAAAAUAUUAGAAGGAACACCAGUGGCGAAGGCGACUAUCUGGAUCGAUACUGACGCUGAGGUGCGAAAGCAUGGGGAGCAAAUGGG